GAGUUUGAUCGUGGCUCAGAUUGAACGCUGGCGGCAUGCCUUACACAUGCAAGUCGAACGGCAGCACGGGAGCUUGCUCCUGGUGGCGAGUGGCGAACGGGUGAGUAAUGCAUCGGAACGUAUCCUGGAGUGGGGGAUAACGUAGCGAAAGUUACGCUAAUACCGCAUAUUCUGUGAGCAGGAAAGCGGGGGACCUUCGGGCCUCGCGCUCUUGGAGCGGCCGAUGUCGGAUUAGCUAGUUGGUGAGGUAAAGGCUCACCAAGGCGACGAUCCGUAGCAGGUCUGAGAGGAUGAUCUGCCAUACUGGAACUGAGACACGGUCCAGACUCCUACGGGAGCAGCAGUGGGAAUUUUGGACAAGUGGGGCAACCCUGAUCCAGCCAUGCCGCGUGAGUGAAGAA
rnacentral:rRNA from 1 species